rnacentral:rRNA from 1 species
AUACGGAGGGGGCUAGCGUUGUUCGGAAUUACUGGGCGUAAAGCGCACGUAGGCGGAUUAAAAAGUUAGAGGUGAAAUCCCAGGGCUUAACCCUGGAACUGCCUUUAAAACUAGUAGUCUAGAGUUCGAGAGAGGUGAGUGGAAUUCCAAGUGUAGGGGUGAAAUUCGUAGAUAUUUGGAGGAACACCAGUGGCGAAGGCGGCUCACUGGCUCGAUACUGACGCUGAGGUGCGAAAGCGUGGGGAGCAAACAGGAUUAGAUACCCUAGUAGUCC